rnacentral:rRNA from 1 species
GUGACCUCAAAUCAGGUAGGACUACCCGCUGAACUUAAGCAUAUCAAUAAGCGGAGGAAAAGAAACUAACAAGGAUUCCCCUAGUAACUGCGAGUGAAGCGGGAAAAGCUCAAAUUUAAAAUCUGGCGGUCUUUUGGCUGUCCGAGUUGUAAUCUAGAGAAGUGUUAUCCGCGCUGGACCGUGUACAAGUCUCCUGGAAUGGAGCAUCAUAGAGGGUGAGAAUCCCGUCUUUGACAUGGACUGCCAGGGCUUUUGUGAUGCGCUCUCAAAGAGUCGAGUUGUUUGGGAAUGCAGCUCAAAAUGGGUGGUAAAUUCCAUCUAAAGCUAAAUAUUGGCGAGAGACCGAUAGCGAACAAGUACCGUGAGGGAAAGAUGAAAAGAACUUUGGAAAGAGAGUUAAACAGUACGUGAAAUUGCUGAAAGGGAAACGCUUGAAGUCAGUCGCGUCGUCCAGGGAUCAACCUUGCUUUUGCUUGGUGCACUUUCUGGUUUGACGGGUCAGCAUCAAUUUUGACCAUUGGAAAAAGAUCGAGGGAAUGUGGCAUCUUUGGAUGUGUUUAUAGCCCUUGGUCGCAUACAAUGGUUCGGGAUUGAGGAACUCAGCACGCCGCAAGGCCGGGUGUAACAGCCACGUACGUGCU